AGUGAUUAGUCCCAAUCACCGUGCUUAGUGUUGGCAAUUAUCUAAAGUCGUCUGCUCUGUAGAAUUUGACAGUUUAACAGAUUGAGUUCCAAUUGGUAGCUAUCAGAAUUCUUAAAUUAGGUUUCUUCGUUAGUUUUCUAUUUAAGUUGUUUAUAAAUGUUUUGGUUGUCAUUUAGUUUGAUGCUGUGUGUGUGAAGUAGACUAUCUGUUUUUGUUAAGCAAAAUGGUGUAGAUGACUGUUUUUCCCAUAAUUUGAAAAGCCUAUUCCGUGAAUUUCUUGGUUACCAGCUCUAAUCAAGUUCCUACAUUUAAGUAAAUGUUUUUCACUGGAGGAUCUGGAUAUAUCGGAAGCCCCUGUUUGGUUGAGCUGUUGGAAUUAAGCUGGCUUCAUGUUUAUCUCUUACGAUAACUUAUUGUCAACUAUAUUAAAUGAGAAGAAGACACUGUUCAGUUUCAACAGUGUGUUCAGAAGAUCCUCCAGCAGAAACAGCAGCUUCAAGUUGAGCAACAGCUAAUACCUCAAUUGGUUGCUGCUAUAUGUGGGAGUGUUCAGCCAACCCCCGUCAGCUGAGUUGAUAAUAACUUUGACAUUAAAGCAGAAUCAGCCGUUGCAAAGAUUUCACCGUACAACAGUGAUGAAGUCAAAGACAUUGACGAGUGCAAUUUGAAGGAUGCUGUCAAGGUGGCCAGUACACCCUUGUCAUUGACAGUUACACCUGCUCCUGUCCGCCAUGUUUUGACCUGACCUCUGAUGGGAAACAAUGUUUAGAUCACGACGAGUGCGUAGAGACGGGAAUGUGCACCCACGGAAUUUGCAUUACAUGGACGUUUCCUUCAAGUGCCAAUGUCAAUAAAGAUACGCCCUUUCACCAUCUGGAUACUCAUUUUGAUGAAUGCACCGAAAUUCUCUGGGUUUAUUUUCCGGCCGUUGUGAGAAUAUCUCCGGCUCUUUCGAGUGCGUUUAUGAGGAAGGAUUGUCCAGCUCGUCCGUCGGACCGUUUUGCGUCAACAUGGAAGAAUGCGGACAGACUGGAAUGUGUGACAGCAGCAAAUGGAUCAACAUGAACGGAUUGUUCAAAUGAUUCUGCGAUUCCGGAUACAAAUUGUCGUCAGAGGGAAAGACUUGCACUGAUAUCGCCGAGUGUAAGAAAAUUGCUUGCUGCGAGAACAACCCGCCCCGUUUGACGUUGAAAUCUGUGUGUUGCAUGUUUGGCCUGGCCUGGGGCAUUCCGUGCGAGAUGUGCUACACGAUCGAGUUCGUCUGCCCCAUCAGCUACGCCAGUGGACGGCAAGACGUGCACGGACAUCAAUGAGUGCGACUUGAACCCGGGCAUCUGCAAAGGCGGCGGCCUCUGCGUCAACACGGAUGGAUCCUUUAAAUGUACCUGCCAUCCAGUACUGACGCUCUACGAGACGGCCACACGCUGCAUCGACCAGCGCCAAGAGCUCUGCUACCUUAACUAUCACCACGGUAUCUGCACCAAGAAACUGGACACUAUCUUAGGAGCGCUUUCUGCUGCAGCAUAAGCAAAGCCUGGAGCCACACCUGCGACUCGGGACCCAAGCCGGGAUCGCCGACCUUCGAGGAACUCUGCCCCAAGGGCCAAGGCUACGUCAACCACAAGGGCACCAAUGAGGGAACGGAGAGCACGACUUUCUCCGGACGACAUGUGCGAUCACGGCUAUUGCAAGAACAGCAUCAGCAGUUUAAACUGCCACUGUAGCCAAGGCGAUGCCCUCAACGAUCAAAUGCAAUGGUAAAUACUAAAUAAUUCAAUCGUAAACAUCAAGAGGGGAGUUUGUGGCAACGGAACGUAUAAAAAAACGGUAUUUUCACCUACGAUUGCGAGGAAGGUUUCGAGAUCACCAUGCAAAUUUACAUGGAUAUUGACGAAUGACGAGUGCCAACGCACCCCUGGAUUAUGCUGUGGCGGUAAAUGUAUCAACAUCACUCCCGGUAGCCGAAUACGGACGAGGAUCUUACAUGGGUCAAUAGCGGAACGAUGUAUCUUUGUGCUUUUUUAUUUCAUUUCCUUUACGAUUUACUAUUUUCUUACAUACCGUUAUUUAUAAUGACAUGUAUUUUGUCACUUGAAUGGAAAAUAUAAAUGUUAUCAUAAAUAAAA